rnacentral:rRNA from 1 species
AUUGAACGCUGGCGGAAUGCUUUACACAUGCAAGUCGAACGGCAGCACGGGGCAACCUGGUGGCGAGUGGCGAACGGGUGAGUAAUACAUCGGAACGUGCCCAAUCGUGGGGGAUAACGUAGCGAAAGUUACGCUAAUACCGCAUACGAUCUACGGAUGAAAGCGGGGGAUCGCAAGACCUCGCGCGAGUGGAGCGGCCGAUGUCAGAUUAGGUAGUUGGUGGAGUAAAGGCUCACCAAGCCAACGAUCUGUAGCUGGUCUGAGAGGACGACCAGCCACACUGGAACUGAGACACGGUCCAGACUCCUACGGGAGGCAGCAGUGGGGAAUUUUGGACAAUGGGCGCAAGCCUGAUCCAGCCAUUCCGCGUGCAGGAUGAAAGGCCUCGGUUGUAACUAGCUUUUGUACGGUAACGAAGACGGCGAGCUCUAAUACAG